AUCAAAAACAUGUCUUGUUGAAUGUAUAAUAUUAAGUCUGACCUGCUCAAUGAAGAGUUUUUAAUAGCCAUGGUAUUUUAACUAUGCGAAGGUAGCAUAAUAAUUUGUCUUUUAAUUGAGGGCUUGAAUGAAUGGUUGGAUGCGGGACUCACUUUCUUAGUCUAAAUUAUUUAGAAUUUAAUUUUUAAGUCAAAAAGCUUAAUUUUAGUUGUGGGACGAGAAGACCCUAUAGAAUUUUAUUCUUGUUUUAAUUUUUAUUUUUAGUAAAUAAGCUUUAAUUAAUAAAGGUUUUAAAAAGGAUUUAAUUGGGGUGAUUAUGGAAUUUUACUAACUUCCAUUAUUAUAAUUUCAAUAAUUAUUGUUUUAUUGAUCCUUUAUUAUGGAUUAUAAGAUUAAAUUACCUUAGGGAUAACAGCGUAAUUUCUUUGGAGAGUUCUUAUCAAUAGAGAAGUUUGCGACCUCGAUGUUGGAUUAAAGUUAAUUUUUAGUGUAGCAGCUAAAUGAUUGGGUCUGUUCGACCCUUAAAUCUUUACAUGAUCUGAGUUA
rnacentral:rRNA from 1 species